GUUUAACGGCCGCGGUAUCUUAACCGCGCGAAGGUAGCGUAAUCACUUGUCUUUUAAAUGGAGACCUGUAUGAAUGGCAUAACGAGGGUUUAACUGUCUCCUCCCCCCAGUCAAUGAAAUUGAUCUGUCCGUGCAGAAGCGGACAUGAUAACAUAAGACGAGAAGACCCUAUGGAGCUUUAGGCAAAUGAUCAACCACACCCAACCCUUUCUGUCAAGCUUGGGAAAAUAAAAGACCAGUGAUCAACCUGCCUUCGGUUGGGGCGACCGCGGAGGAGAAAACAGCCUCCGAGUGGUACGGGAAAACCCUUAAACCAAGAGAAACACCUCUAAGUAUCAAAAAAUUUGACCACAUAUGACCCAGGAUUAACCUGAUUAACGAACCAAGUUACCCUAGGGAUAACAGCGCAAUCCCCUCCCAGAGUCCAUAUCGACGAGGGGGUUUACGACCUCGAUGUUGGAUCAGGACAUCCUAAUGGUGCAGCCGCUAUUAAGGGUUCGUUUGUUCAACGAUUAA
rnacentral:rRNA from 1 species